UACGGAAGGUCCGGGCGUUGUCCGGAAUGACUGGGUGUAAAGGGAGCGUAGGCGGGAUGGCAAGUCAGAUGUGAAACCUGAGGGCUCAACCUUCAGACUGCAUUUGAAACUGCUGUUCUUGAGUGAAGUAGAGGUAAGCGGAAUUCCUGGUGUAGCGGUGAAAUGCUUAGAUAUGACGAAGAACUCCGAUUGCGAAGGCAGCCUGCUGUAGCGCAACUGACGCUGAAGCUCGAAAGCGUGGGUAUCGAACAGG
rnacentral:rRNA from 1 species